rnacentral:rRNA from 1 species
AUUGAACGCUGGCGGCAGGCCUAACACAUGCAAGUCGAACGAGUGGCGGACGGGUGAGAAAUGUCUGGGAAACUGCCUGAUGGAGGGGGAUAACUACUGGCAACGGUAGCUAAUACCUACUACCAUCAGAUGUGCCCACAUGGGAUUAGCUGGUUGGGGGGGUAACGGCUCAACAAGGUGACGCUCCCUAGCUGGUCUGAGAGGAUGACCAGUCACACGGUAACGGAGACACGGACCAGACUCGUACGUGAGGCAGCAGUGGGGAAUAUUGCACAAGGAGCGGAAGCCUGAUGCAGCCAUGCGGCGUGUAUGAAGAAGGCCUUCGGGGUGUAAAGUACUUUCAGCGUGGAGGCGUUACCCGCAGAAGAAGCACCGGCUAACUCCGUGCCAGCCGCCGCGGUAAUAC